UACGUAGGGGGCAAGCGUUGUCCGGAUUUAUUGGGCGUAAAGAUCGUGUAGGCGGCUGGGUAGGUCCGUUGUGAAAACUCGAGGCUCAACCUCGAGACGCCGAUGGAAACCCUCCAGCUAGAGUCCGGAAGAGGAGAGUGGAAUUCCUGGUGUAGCGGUGAAAUGCGCAGAUAUCAGGAAGAACACCCGUGGCUAAGGCGGCUCUCUAGUACGGUACUGACGCUGAGACGCGAAAGCGUGGGGAGCGAACAGG
rnacentral:rRNA from 1 species